AUUGAACGCUGGCGGCAGGCCUCACACAUGCAAGUCGAGCGGAGCGGCGGACGGGUGAGUAAUGCCUCGGAAUCUGCCUGGUAGUGGGUGAUAACGUCCGGAAACGAGCGCUAAUAUCGCAUACUAUCAGAUGAGCCUAGGUCGGAUUGGCUAGGUGGUGGGGUCAAGGCCUACCAAGGCCACGAUCCGUAACUUGUCUGAGAGGAUGAUCAGUCACACUGGAACUGAGACACGGGCCAGCCGCCUACGGGAGGCAUCAGUGGGGAAUAGUGGACAAUGGGCGAAAGCCUGAUCCAGCCAUGCCGCGUGUGUGAAGAAGGUCUUCGGAUUGUAAAGAACUUUAAGUUGGGAGGCGUUACCAACAGAAUAAGCACCGGCUAACUUCGUGGCAGCCGCCGCGGUAAUAC
rnacentral:rRNA from 1 species